rnacentral:rRNA from 1 species
CUAUGCGCCUUGCCAGCCCGCUCAGGUGUGCCAGCCGCCGCGGUAAUACAGAGGUCUCAAGCGUUGUUCGGAAUCACUGGGCGUAAAGCGUGCGUAGGCGGUUUCGUAAGUCGUGUGUGAAAGGCGGGGGCUCCACCCCCGGACUGCACAUGAUACUGCGAGACUAGAGUAAUGGAGGGGGAACCGGAAUUCUCGGUGUAGCAGUGAAAUGCGUAGAUAUCGAGAGGAACACUCGUGGCGAAGGCGGGUUCCUGGACAUUAACUGACGCUGAGGCACGAAGGCCAGGGAGCGAAAGGG